GUGAGGAAUAUUGGUCAAUGGGCGGAAGCCUGAACCAGCCAAGUCGCGUGAGGGAAUAAGGCCCUACGGGUCGUAAACCUCUUUUGCCGGGGAGCAAGGGCGGGGACGAGUCCCGGCCCGGAGAGUACCCGGAGAAAAAGCAUCGGCUAACUCCGUGCCAGCAGCCGCGGUAAUACGGAGGAUGCGAGCGUUAUCCGGAUUUAUUGGGUUUAAAGGGUGCGUAGGCGGGCUUUUAAGUCAGCGGUAAAAAUUCGGGGCUCAACCCCGUCCGGCCGUUGAAACUGGGGGCCUUGAGUGGGCGAGAAGAAGGCGGAAUGCGUGGUGUAGCGGUGAAAUGCAUAGAUAUCACGCAGAACCCCGAUUGCGAAGGCAGCCUUCCGGCGCCCUACUGACGCUGAGGCACGAAAGUGCGGGGAUCGAACAGG
rnacentral:rRNA from 1 species